UCAGAUAGCUUCAUCACUCUGAACACACCCAAUGUCAGUUGAUUUCAGAAGUUAAGCAAGGUUAGGCCUGGUUCAUACCUGGAUGGGAGAUCACCAAAGAAUACUAAGGACCUCUUGAU
rnacentral:rRNA from 1 species